UUUAAACGUAAACAUCUUAAGUUUUCACAGUAUUUUCAUAAAAAUUAUAUUAUUUAUCCUUAUUGUGUUCCUGGGAAAUUAACAAGUGAUUUAUCCUUAUGUGUUCCUGGGAAAUUAACAAGUGGUUAUUAAAUCACCUUUGUAGUAAUAAAAAAAUAUUAAUGCAGAAGGAAGGAAAGUCCAACUUGUUAAAGUAGCAUUAAAGCCAAAACAAUACCCCAAGUCCUCAAUUCCUAGUCUAAGAGUCUCGGCAUUUGGAUUCAAGUCUUAUGUAUCUUGCUUUCUAAUCACUUCAAGUUUUUGGUUGUCCCUGAAAUUGUAUUGUUAUAACAGUUUAAGAUAAGAGCUUUUAGAAAAAUAACAAUGAAGAAUCCUUACCUAUUCCUUGGGGGGAAAAAAAUAUCUAAACGAUGACAUGAUUUUCAAAGACUAGAGAAUCAACUGUGUAGUCAAAACUUUAAAAUUUUUUAUUUGAUAUAGCCUAUUUGUAAAAAUGAACUUCACUGAUCCAUCCCAAUUCACUUAAACUCUCUAAUUAUUCAUAGGUUAAUUAAACAUCCAUGCCUUGGACAGUCCCUGUUUAUACCAGUUUUCUAGUGUAACGAAUAAUAGCACCCCUUCUACUUAAAAACAUUUAGUUUAGACAAUACGUUAUAUGAUCACACUGGGCAUUUGCCAGAUUCUGGUUAAAUGUGUGGAAAAAAAACAGAAUUGUGUCUUCCUCAUCCCUUCUGCCCGACUAUGUAUCUUCUCAUCGCCUGUAUGUAAUUUUGAAUACUACUAGAUAAGUCUUACUUAUAGAGGACAGAAGAAAAAAGUACACAGCAAUAGUCUGCUUAAACACCUUUUCAGGAAAUGGUGGCAAAAUUACAUCAUGUCAUUUGGUGAUAGUGC
rnacentral:lncRNA from 1 species